UGUGUGUGGGGGGGAGGUUAUGGUGAGAGAGGUGUUGUUGGCAUCAGAAUCUCUCAAACCUAUGACAUCACAUAGGUGGCAGCGCAACCUACAGACCUGUUACCAAGACAACAGCAACCAUAUUUCCAGAAUCCACUUGGUUCACCUCCCACCUUUGCCCUUGUUUGGGCAAAAUCUCUUAUUGUUUGGGCCAGUGUGCUGUGUUCAGACUCAGCCGCGAUUUUAACACAUCAUUUUGUUGCGGAAGCCCAGGAAACUGUGGGGUCCAGCACAAGUGGUGAGAUCAUACCCAUGUGGACCGUCACCGAGUUGGGUUCCUACCAUCGACCGCAGUCCACAACCGCAGCUGCCGUGAGUGCAGAGGCUACAACCGCAGCCAGCGAUGGGUUCACAGCCUCGUGGGCUGCCACAGAGAGGACCCCAGUCUCCAACCAUGGCGGCUGUGAGUGUGGGCUUGCCACCGCCACUCAGCUACAACUGCCACCAGCGGAGCUGGCCAGAACUCUCGCUGCCUGGCAGAACUUCUGACAGGGCUGCUGUGCUCGCAGGCUGGGAGCAGUGCAACAAGCGACAUUCCCAGCUCUCAGAUGGUUGCUACAGGAAUCACAGGAUUACCAGCUGCUGCCCACAGAGGAGCCACUGUCUACAGAGGAACCUGAUGCGAAGGUUUACCAAGUAGAUCCCAAUGGUGAAAGCCAGCUACACCCCAAAAUGAAUGAAGCCCCGAGACAGCAGGAAGCAGCUUAAGAGACAAGACACCCUUAGUCCCUUUUCUUUCCUUCUCUUUAUAAUAACAAGAAGGGAGGUAUGUUGGCAUCAGGACCUCCCAAACCUAUGACAUCACAUAGGUGACAAUGUGACCUAUAGAUUCGUCAAGACAACAGCUACCACAUUCUCAGAAUCUGCUUGGCUCACCUCCCACCUUUAUCUGCAUUAAGUCAUUUUCCAUAUGAAUAAGGGGAAUGCCCCUCCUUCUCUGUCUUUCCUCCCUUUUCUUUCUGCUGCUAUCUUACCCCUCUUCCCCCCAAAUAAACCUCUUACACAUGGAACUGUUUGGGCUAGUGUGCUGUGUUCAGACGAGAGCCCCAAUUUUAACACAUCAGGAGUUUUGGGUCAGCCUUUGUAAGUUGGACUUCAUGGUUCAGUGAGGUCUUUAAGAUGAAUGGACAGAUGCCGUUCUGACAUCGUCUCUUCCUAGCUCUGGGAUGUUACAAAAGACACAGUUAUAAGCACCUUGUUUUCUUUGCAUUCUGAGUCGAACCUUUCACCAGCUGGGGACUAAGCGUUCAAACAUGGGAGCCGCUCCCAUUGAAAUCACCACUGACCAGAAGAGGACAUCAGAUUUUGUGGAACUGGAGCUAUAAUGGAACUGUCAUGUGAAUGACUGUUGGGGACUAAACUCUGAUCGUGUGUAAGAGUUCAAAACUGCUGAAUAGUCUCUCCAGCUCACGCAUUUUGAGGCAUCUGAGCUUUCAAAAAGCCACCUGUAAAGUCUUUGGAACUGAAGUGCUUCCCAGGCAAUGCCUUUCUAUGAUACUAUGUCUGUACUUUCUGGAAUUGUAGCCACUAGCAACAUGUGGCCUUUGAGUUCUCAGAAUGUGGCUAGUUUAUUUGAUUAACUUUGGAUUUGCAUUUCCCCAGUGGCGCCUCACUUUGCCCGUUUCUCCCACCAGAUGGCGCCCUCAUUGAGGGAAAGAAAUGGGUUUGCAACACCAGCAACCUGAAUAAGCCAAAGGCGUGAAGGGAUAGCAUUGGCCCUCCUAAUCACUGCACCCUGUCUUCUUCAGAGAUUCAACUGCCUGAACGGGCUUUAACCCUCACGCCGGCAGCUGGAGCUGCAAUCACUUGUUUCUAGAAAU
rnacentral:lncRNA from 1 species